rnacentral:rRNA from 1 species
AGAGUUUGAUCCUGGCUCAGGACGAACGCUGGCGGCGUGCCUAACACAUGCAAGUCGAGCGAUGAAAUCCUUCGGGAUGGAUUAGCGGCGGACGGGUGAGUAACACGUGGGUAACCUGCCUCAAAGAGGGGAAUAGCCUUCCGAAAGGAAGAUUAAUACCGCAUAAUAUGUUUUGGUCGCAUGACUAGGACAUCAAAGGAGCAAUCCGCUUUGAGAUGGACCCGCGGCGCAUUAGCUAGUUGGUGAGGUAACGGCUCACCAAGGCGACGAUGCGUAGCCGACCUGAGAGGGUGAUCGGCCACAUUGGAACUGAGACACGGUCCAGACUCCUACGGGAGGCAGCAGUGGGGAAUAUUGCGCAAUGGGGGAAACCCUGACGCAGCAACGCCGCGUGAAUGAUGAAGGCCUUCGGGUUGUAAAGUUCUUUCUUGUGGGACGAUAAUGACGGUACCAGAGGAGGAAGCCACGGCUAACUACGUGCCAGCAGCCGCGGUAAUA